rnacentral:rRNA from 1 species
GACGAACGCUGGCGGCGUGCUUAACACAUGCAAGUCGAACGGAAAGGCCCUGCUUUUGUGGGGUGCUCGAGUGGCGAACGGGUGAGUAACACGUGAGUAACCUGCCCUUGACUUUGGGAUAACUUCAGGAAACUGGGGCUAAUACCGGAUAGGAGCUCCUGCUGCAUGGUGGGGGUUGGAAAGUUUCGGCGGUUGUGGAUGGACUCGCGGCUUAUCAGCUUGUUGGUGGGGUAGUGGCUUACCAAGGCUUUGACGGGUAGCCGGCCUGCGAGGGUGACCGGCCACAUUGGGACUGAGAUACGGCCCAGACUCCUACGGGAGGCAGCAGUGGGGAAUAUUGCACAAUGGGCGGAAGCCUGAUGCAGCAACGCCGCGUGCGGGAUGACGGCCUUCGGGUUGUAAACCGCUUUCGCCUGUGACGAAGCGUGAGUGACGGUAAUGGGUAAAGAAGCACCGGCUAACUACGUG